GAUGAACGCUGGCGGCGUGCCUAAUACAUGCAAGUCGAGCGAACGGACGAGAAGCUUGCUUUUCUGAUGUUAGCGGCGGACGGGUGAGUAACACGUGGAUAACCUACCUAUAAGACUGGGAUAACUUCGGGAAACCGGAGCUAAUACCGGAUAAUAUUUUGAACCGCAUGGUUCAAAAGUGAAAGACGGUCUUGCUGUCACUUAUAGAUGGAUCCGCGCUGCAUUAGCUAGUUGGUAAGGUAACGGCUUACCAAGGCAACGAUGCAUAGCCGACCUGAGAGGGUGAUCGGCCACACUGGGACGGAGACACGGUCCAGACUCCUACGGGAGGCAGCAGUGGGGAAUCUUCCGCAAUGGGCGAAAGCCUGACGGAGCAACGCCGCGUGAGUGAUGAAGGUCUUCGGAUCGUAAAACUCUGUUAUUAGGGAAGAACAGAUGUGUAAGUAACUGUGCACAUCUUGACGGUACCUAAUCAGAAAGCCACGGCUAACUACGUG
rnacentral:rRNA from 1 species